rnacentral:rRNA from 1 species
GAAUGUCAAAACGACUCUCGACAACGGAUAUCUCGGCUCUCGCAUCGAUGAAGAACGUAGCGAAAUGCGAUACUUGGUGUGAAUUGCAGAAUCCCGUGAACCAUCGAGUCUUUGAACGCAAGUUGCGCCCGAAGCCUUCGGGCUGAGGGCACGUCUGCCUGGGCGUCACGCAUCGCGUC